ACACUCACUUCAGCAGCACAUAUAUUAAGAAUUGAAAUGCUACAGUGAAGAUCAGCAUGGACCUUGGGCAAGGAUGGCAUAUGCAGGAGUUCCCAUUGUGG
rnacentral:snRNA from 1 species